GACGAACGCUGGCGGCGUGCUUAACACAUGCAAGUCGAACGAUGACGACCGAGCUUGCUCGGUCUGAUUAGUGGCGAACGGGUGAGUAACACGUGAGCAACCUGCCCUUCACUCUGGGAUAACCUCGGGAAAUCGGGGCUAAUACCGGAUAUGAGCUCCUGUCGCAUGGCGGGUGUUGGAAAGUUUUUCGGUGAAGGAUGGGCUCGCGGCCUAUCAGUUUGUUGGUGAGGUAGUGGCUCACCAAGGCGAUGACGGGUAGCCGGCCUGAGAGGGCGACCGGCCACACGGGGACUGGGAAACGGCCGAGACUCCUAGGGGAGGCAGCGGGGGGGAAUAUUGCACAAGGGGCGAAAGCGUGAAGCAGGCACGCCGGGUGGGGGAUGACGGCCUUCGGGUUGUAAACCUCUUUCAGCAGGGAAGAAGCGAAAGUGGGGGUACCUGCAAAAGAAGCGCGGGCGAACUACG
rnacentral:rRNA from 1 species